CUACGGGUUGCUGCAGUGGGGAAUAUUGGGCAAUGGGCGCAAGCCUGACCCAGCAACGCCGCGCGAGGGAAGAAGGUUUUCGGAUUGUAAACCUCUGUCCUUGGGGACGAAGAAGUGACGGUACCCAAGGAGGAAGCUCCGGCUAACUACGUGCCAGCAGCCGCGGUAAUACGUAGGGAGCAAGCGUUGUCCGGAAUUACUGGGCGUAAAGGGUGCGUAGGCGGCAUAUUAAGUCAGGUGUGAAAUACUCGGGCUCAACCCGGGGGCUGCAUUUGAAACUGAUAUGCUUGAGUGUGAGAGAGGAAAGUGGAAUUCCUAGUGUAGCGGUGGAAUGCGUAGAUAUUAGGAGGAACACCAGCGGCGAAGGCGACUUUCUGGCUCAUAACUGACGCUGAGGCACGAAAGCGUGGGGAGCAAACAGGAUUAGAUACCCGUGUAGUC
rnacentral:rRNA from 1 species